UACGUAGGGGGCAAGCGUUGUCCGGAGUUACUGGGCGUAAAGCGCACGCAGGCGGUCUUUUAAGUUUGGAGUGACAGUUUGGUGGCUUAACUGCCAAAGUCGCUUCGAAAACUGACAGACUUGAGGGCUUCAGAGGGACACGGAAUUCCGGGUGUAGUGGUGAAAUGCGGUAGAGAUCCGGAGGAACACAGUGGCGAAGGCGAACACGCUGGGCCGUACCUGACACUGAUGCGCGACAGCAGUGGGGAGCAAACGAGG
rnacentral:rRNA from 1 species